GCCGGGGCGUCCCCCGCGGGAGCCCGCAGCCACCCGGGACGCGCAUCCAGACGUGGCGCUUCGGACCGGGCACGCUGCGCCCGGGGGCUCGGCGGACCCCGCGUAGCCGCCGCUUCGGAGCUUGUGCGGCGCGGGCUGGCCAGCGGGGCGGCCAGGGCCCGGCCCGCCUCCCCAGCGCCCGCCCGGCUUCUCCCCCUGGCGGUGGGAGCCUCGGCGGCCGCUGGCGACACUAGGCGCACUGAAGCCCGAGCCGAGCCGAGCCCGAGCCGCCGCCGCCGCCGCCGCUGCUGCGCACCGCUCCCGGGCUCCCUCCCAGCGCGCCGGCCGGGGUGUGGGGGGCGGCGGGCCGGAGGGGCGAGGGCGGGCCAGGGGGCGCACACGGGGGUUGGCGCGGAAGACAGGACCCUCAGCCUCGAGGGAGCCCCUAGGUGACCAGGCAAAAUGGCAGUUCCUUCCAGCUGGUCCUCAGAUGGGCACAUCUAUUAGCCUCUGCUCUUGUAAGAAGUUAGCUGCAGAACCCACAUGUGAAUCCUUGUAGGACUCUGGAGAAGAUCAAAUGGGAGCUUAGAUGUGGAAGCUCUUUGGAAACCAAGAAACACUCUGAAAAUGAAAAGGCAUAAGAAUGUUUAUCACAGCAUGGCAUAUAUUGGAAGUUUAGUAAAUGAAGAUACAUCCAAUCUGACAUUCUAUUCACAACCACAAAGAGAUAAUGUAGAAACAUAUUUAGUAAUGUGAGAAAAUACUAAAUAUUAAGUGAAAAAGGUGGAAGAGUAAACUGUUCCUGUUUCUCCAUCUUGACAGGAAGCAGAAGUUCUCCUUAGCUGAUUUUUCUUCUUGCCUUAUACUGGGUUCUUUAACACCAGAACAAAAAUAAAUAAAUAAAAGAAUCUUCCAGAAAUUCAUGAAGAGACUUCAGGUCAGGAAAGCCUGAACUUUCUCAUCCAACACCCGUUCAAGUCGGAGGAUGCUGAUUAAUUCAUGAUGGAAAGGUAUCAAUUUCACAGCCCAGACCUCUACAUUCUUGAAAUGCUCUUCUCAUGGGAGACAUUAAAUAAGCUUUGAAUUAACUGAAUGUACAGGGUGUACCAUGAACAAUUCUGACAUGUGAUUUAAUCUAUGUGGGACUACAUUUUAAAUACAUUUGGGAAGGAUUGAACAAUGAAGUGGAGCCCAUCAAUAUUGGUACUGAAAAUGAGACAUAAGCCCUUAAGUAAAAGUGCCAUCAAAUGAUUUCUCAGAAAUUAUAAAGAAACAAAAGGACCAUAAACAAGAUAAGGUGGCAUGAGGAAACAUUACAAGUACCUUUCAGAGCUGACUGGCAAAGAAACUCCUGAGGUGACGGUUCUACCCCAAUAUUACUUCUUCGAAGAGCAACCUAACUGACCUUGUAUUGAAGACAGCGUAACCCCCAAGAGGAAAGGAGCUUGGAGCCCUGAAUCAGAGUAGAAGACAGGCUGAAUGAAUACCAGCCUUGGACUGUUGUGUGAAUGAAAAACAAGUUUUGAGAUUUGUGUGGUUUAUUUAUUAUAGUUACUGUUAUUAUUAAAGUUUUUCACUGCUUUACUCUCAG
rnacentral:lncRNA from 1 species